rnacentral:misc_RNA from 1 species
GACACAGUGAAGAGUCCAAGGACAAUCAAGUUGACAGGGUGCUUCUGGUGAUAAACGUGCAAUGGCCAUAACAAUAUGAAGGGCGCGAUGCAAAGGAGUAGAAGGAGGCCAGGACUGUCACCAAGGAGAGCAUUGAUAGGGGUGUAGAGGACGGUGACGGCAGAAACGAUGGUGGUAAGCACCAAUUGGACAGCGAGAAUGCCAUAGACCUUACGAAUCAAGCCCCAUCGCAGCUGAUUCUCCCCCAGACCCAAACCAGGGUACAACGUCUCUCCAUUUCCGGCUUCGAGAUCAACCUCCUUCCCUAAAUCCUUUGUGCUCAGGCCCGAGAAUCCGUACAUCUCUUCCUUUCUUUCUCAAUUCCUUGACUCUUCUUUUCUCUCUCUCUCUCUCUCUCUCU